rnacentral:rRNA from 1 species
CAAACUUGAGAGUUUGAUCCUGGCUCAGAACGAACGCUGGCGGCAUGCCUAACACAUGCAAGUCGAACGAGACCUUCGGGUCUAGUGGCGCACGGGUGCGUAACGCGUGGGAACCUGCCCUUAGGUUCGGAAUAACAGUUAGAAAUGACUGCUAAUACCGGAUAAUGUCUUCGGACCAAAGAUUUAUCGCCUUUGGAUGGGCCCGCGUUGGAUUAGAUAGUUGGUGGGGUAAUGGCCUACCAAGUCGACGAUCCAUAGCUGGUCUGAGAGGAUGAUCAGCCACACUGGGACUGAGACACGGCCCAGACUCCUACGGGAGGCAGCAGUGGGGAAUAUUGGACAAUGGGCGAAAGCCUGAUCCAGCAAUGCCGCGUGAGUGAUGAAGGCCUUAGGGUUGUAAAGCUCUUUUACCAGGGAUGAUAAUGACAGUACCUGGAGAAUAAGCUCCGGCUAACUCCGUGCCAGCAGCCGCGGUAAUACGGAGGGAGCUAGCGUUGUUCGGAAUUACUGGGCGUAAAGCGCACGUAGGCGGCUUUUCAAGUCAGGGGUGAAAUCCCGGGGCUCAACCCCGGAACUGCCCUUGAAACUGGAUGGCUAG